UUCACCCACCUCAACUUCCCAAAGUGCUGGGAUUACAGAUGUCAGCCACCGCGCCCCGCCUGCUUAAUUUCUUUUAAACCAAGAAGAGGAGAACCCAGGUAUCACAACAGCCGUCAAGCUGGGAAGGAGUGCCCCCAGCCACAGAUUGACACAACCCUGAGGAGACAGACCCUGAGCUGGCAGUCACGGCCUCAGUGGAAGGCCAGCCCCCAGAUGGACCCCAAGGCCUUGUUCCAGAGGGAGCAGCUCAUCAUGGCCCUGUAUCCCCAAACCACCUGCUACCACCACGCCCUGAUCCAAACGCCCCCACAGCAGCCCCAGGAUGACUACUCGGUCCUGUUUGAAGACACCUCCUAUGCAGACGGCUAUUCCCCUCCCCUCAAUGUGGCUCAGAGGUACGUGGUGGCUUGUAAGGAGCCCAAGAAAAAGUGACGCUGCCUGGUGGACUCACCAUCCCCCAACGACACAGGGCAGGACAGCAGAGGAUGUGCUGGGAUUAAACAGACAUUCCUCCUCCA